CCUACGGGAGGCAGCAGUGAGGAAUAUUGGUCAAUGGGCGCAAGCCUGAACCAGCCAAGUCGCGUGAGGGAUGACGGUCCUAUGGAUUGUAAACCUCUUUUGUCGGGGAGCAAGGCCCGCCACGUGUGGCGGGAAGGAGAGUACCCGAAGAAAAAGCAUCGGCUAACUCCGUGCCAGCAGCCGCGGUAAUACGGAGGAUGCGAGCGUUAUCCGGAUUUAUUGGGUUUAAAGGGUGCGUAGGCGGAAGGUUAAGUCAGCGGUAAAAUGUCGGUGCUCAACACCGGCCUGCCGUUGAAACUGGUCUUCUUGAGUGAGCGAGAAGUAUGCGGAACGCGUGGUGUAGCGGUGAAAUGCAUAGAUAUCACGCAGAACUCCGAUUGCAAAGGCAGCAUACCGGCGCUCAACUGACGCUGAGGCACGAAAGCGUGGGGAUCGAACAGGAUUAGAUACCCCUGUAGUC
rnacentral:rRNA from 1 species